rnacentral:lncRNA from 1 species
AGACGGACGGUGAAGGAGAGGUAAUCGACGAAGGAAGAGCUGGCGGCAAGAAAAAGGCCGUAGGAGAAGGAGAAGGCGAUGAGGACGCAGGAGCCGCCGCCGCCGCCAUUUCAAGCACUCCAGAUCUCCGGCGAUCGACGGCAACGCCACUUCAAAUAUUGGAGCUCGAAGUCGGAAUCAAUGGAUUCGGUGCUCUAACCACUGCGAUGCCUC